rnacentral:rRNA from 1 species
GAUGAACGCUAGCGGCAGGCUUAAUACAUGCAAGUCGAGGGGCAGCAGGUCUGUAGCAAUACAGAUGCUGGCGACCGGCAAACGGGUGCGGAACACGUACUGAACCUUCCUUCGAGCGGGGAAUAGCCCAGAGAAAUUUGGAUUAAUACCCCAUAGUAUUACGGAGUGGCAUCACUUUGUAAUUAAAGAUUUAUCACUUGAAGAUGGCUGUGCGGCUGAUUAGAUAGUUGGCAGGGUAACGGCCUACCAAGUCUACGAUCAGUAACUGGUGUGAGAGCACGACCAGUCACACGGGCACUGAGACACGGGCCCGACUCCUGCGGGAGGCAGCAGUAAGAAAUAUUGGUCAAUGGACGAAAGUCUGAACCAGCUAUGCCGCGUGGAGGAUGAAGGCCCUCUGGGUUGUAAACUUCUUUUAUAUGGGACGAAAAAGGACCUUUCUAGGUCAACUGACGGUACCAUGUGAAUAAGCACCGGCUAACUCCGUGCCAGCCGCCGCAGUAAGAC